rnacentral:rRNA from 1 species
GGACGACGCUGGCGGCGUGCUUAAUACAUGCAAGUCGAGCGAGGCCUUGGAAUUGGAGUCCUUCGGGAUGAAGAGUCCUUGGCCUAGCGGCGGACGGGUGAGUAACGCGUGGGCAACCUACCCCAAAGUCCGGGAUAACAGUGGGAAACCGCUGCUAAUACCGGAUGGCUUUACCUGAGGGCAUCCUUGGGUAAAGAAAGGUUACGCUUUGGGAUGGGCCCGCGUCCCAUUAGCUAGUUGGUGAGGUAACGGCUCACCAAGGCGACGAUGGGUAGCCGGCCUGAGAGGGUGAACGGCCACACUGGGACUGAGACACGGCCCAGACUCCUACGGGAGGCAGCAGUAGGGAAUAUUGCGCAAUGGGCGGAAGCCUGACGCAGCGACGCCGCGUGAGCGAAGAAGGCCUUCGGGGUGUAAAGUUCUUUUCUAUACGAGCAGUGCUAUAUAUAUGGAUAGUAUAUAUAGAGGGAUAGUAGUAUAGGAAUAAGCAACGGCUAACUCCGUG